CAAAGAAAGAAUCAAGCUAGGGAACACUCCAGAUUUAGGCCUCCUUAAGGGCUUCUAAGGCUUAGUAAGUAGGCAGGUUCAACCCUUUCCAGUAUGGUCAAACCACCUCAUCUUUCAGAGAAAGGAGCUAACUCGUCUUGCUUGAAAGAAGACAUGCCUCGACUUGCCCCAUUGAUUGAGGGACAAAGGUUAGUUUGCAUCUCGCUGUUAGCGUUCUGAUCGAUUGCCUCACUUACUAGCAGGCAGUCUUGAAUCAAUUCCUAUCCUCGAUAGUUGAACCAACUCUCACUUCAACUGAAUAGUCAGGCCCAGUUUGAGAUUGAAUCAUUUCCUGUGAUUCAAAAGAAGGAAGCAGACCAAAGCCCUCGCAUAGUGAAAGUUGCCCAAAUGUGGACGUACCCAGGAUUCCAUUCCUACCGCAGGCCUUUUCUUGCUAUCUGUACUGGGCUCCCCACCACUGCUAGACUUAAGCUAGCUGCACCUGCCUUACCUGACCUGUUAAUCAAACCUAAAGGAGGA
rnacentral:lncRNA from 1 species